GCCCGAACCACUUCUCCAGGAGCUGAGGCGGCGGCUGAGGCGGCGUUUUCCGUGCUCGCUGCGGUCUGGUGGCGUUCCUGUCCGGCAACGAGCGGCUGUGCAGCCCCGGCACCCGCGGGCAAUGGUGCGGCGGAGCGCGCGGACGCGGGCGGCCCUGCGGCGGGCAUGAAGGAGGAUGGAAGGGCAGGACGAGGUGUCGGCGCGGGAGCAGCACUUCCACAGUCAAGUGCGAGAGUCCACGAUAUGUUUUCUUCUUUUUGCCAUCCUCUACAUCGUUUCCUACUUCAUCAUUACAAGAUACAAGAGAAAAUCAGAUGAACAAGAAGAUGAGGAUGCUGUAGUCAACAGGAUAUCGUUGUUUCUGAGCACCUUCACUCUAGCGGUUUCAGCUGGAGCUGUUUUGCUUUUACCCUUCUCAAUCAUCAGCAAUGAAAUCCUGCUUGCUUUUCCUCAAAACUACUAUAUUCAGUGGCUAAAUGGCUCCUUGAUCCAUGGUUUGUGGAAUCUCGCGUCUUUAUUUUCCAACCUUUGUUUGUUUGUGUUGAUGCCCUUUGCCUUUUUCUUUCUGGAAUCAGAAGGUUUUGCGGGCCUGAAAAAGGGGAUCCGAGCCCGAGUUUUGGAAACUCUGGUCAUGUUGCUGCUUCUUGCAUUGCUGAUUCUUGGGAUGGUGUGGGUGGCUUCUGCCCUGAUUGACAGCGAUGCUGCCAGCAUGGAGUCUUUAUAUGAUCUCUGGGAGUUCUACUUACCGUAUUUAUACUCCUGCAUUUCACUGAUGGGAUGCUUGCUGCUUCUCUUGUGUACCCCAGUUGGCCUUUCCCGUAUGUUCACAGUGAUGGGUCAGUUGCUGGUGAAGCCAGCGAUACUUGAAGACUUGGAUGAACAAAUUUAUGUGAUUACCCUAGAAGAAGAAGCACUCCAGAGAAGACUACAUGGGCUGUCUUCAUCAGUGGAAUACAACGUAAUGGAAUUGGAGAAAGAACUUGAGAAUGUAAAGACCCUUAAGACAAAAUUAGAGAGGCGAAAAAAGGCUUCGGCAUGGGAGAGAAAUCUGGUGUAUCCUGCUGUUAUGGUUCUACUUCUUAUUGAAACAUUCAUUUCGGUCCUCUUGGUGGCGUGUAAUAUUCUUUGCCUACUGGUUGAUGAGACUGCAAUGCCAAAGGGAACAAGGGGGCCUGGGAUAGGAAGCGCCUCUCUCUCCACUUUUGGCUUUGUGGGAGCUGCACUUGAAAUCAUUCUGAUUUUCUAUCUCAUGGUGUCUUCUGUAGUUGGUUUCUACAGCCUCAGAUUUUUUGGAAACUUUACACCCAAGAAGGAUGACACAACGAUGACCAAGAUCAUUGGGAAUUGUGUGUCAAUCCUUGUCUUGAGCUCUGCUCUGCCUGUGAUGUCAAGAACACUGGGAAUCACUAGAUUUGAUCUACUUGGAGACUUUGGAAGAUUUAAUUGGCUGGGAAAUUUCUAUAUUGUAUUAUCCUACAAUUUACUCUUUGCCAUUGUGACAACAUUGUGUUUGGUCAGAAAAUUCACGUCAGCUGUACGAGAAGAACUUUUCAAGGCCCUAGGACUUCACAAGCUUCACUUGUCAGAUACCUCAAGAGAUUCAGAAACUGCAAAGCCUUCUGCAAAUGGUCAUCAGAAAGCAUUGUGAGACCCGACUGCCUCAGCAGCAUUCUGCAGCAAGUCCCCUGAAGACUCCUGACAUUCCCACAGAAACUCAUCAGCUUGUGGUGAGGUCUGGGCUGCCUGUCAGUGCCACCUUCUCACCAGCACGAGCACUUGGCAUUGCUGAUCAGUUUCUCCUUUGACUUUUCUGAUUGACCUUAGAGCUUUUGGUUAAACCCUGAGUCUUAGAGACUGGGGAAAGGUUGUAUGUCUACAGCAGGGAGCCAUCUGGAUGAGCGGUGAAGAUGUGCAAAGAAGCUGACUUGGACUUUCUUAUGCUUUGCUUUAUGCCAUGAGACGUUUGCAUCUGCAGGCAGAAGCCUACCUGGAAGUUGCCUAGUACCCCAAAACAUUUUCAGAAAGUCCUGAAAACUUAUGUACUAGUAGCAAACUACAUUUUUUAUUUCCUUAAAAAACCAAAAGCAGAGUUUCUGAUUCAUGUUACAGAAUCUUCAUUAGACUUUGGGCCAGUGGGAAAAUACUAGGUUCCUUCCAAACUUGAGCCUUGGUGGGAAGCCCCAAGGCUAUCUUUUUGUGGUAAGCAGCAGUAAGAAGCAUAUGUGAUUGUAGAUUUGGACAUUUGUGUGUAUACACCUGAUAAUACUUCACAGCACAGUGCCAGUGUUGUACACACUUGUAACUUAGACUUUGCCUUAUAGGCCAUGUGUAUAUUCACUUUUUAAAACCUUUUUAAAAACUACUUCACUCCUGUGCUUGUUGUGCCUGUGAAACCCAUAGAUAGAAAUUGUUUCCUUUUUAAAUCUCAGGCUUUGGUGACCUUCAUAUACACCACCUUGAGUCUUCACCUCAGGAAAGUUACCAGGGUGAUACCCAGGACUUAAAGGUCAUAGAAGGGCAGACACAGUGGAAUAUGAGCUCAUAAUUAUUCAGUUGUUUAGUUGUACGUGAUUGUUGGGAUGGUUUCUUAACUCUUGAGUUCCUGACUAAAAACAUGAGUGCAUGCUGUUGCUGUCCCUAGGUAGCACACAGGUCACAGAAAUAUAAUGGUGCUUACAUGCACGGUGUGGAUGACAAAACAGGAUUUGUAUUCAGAAAAAAGUAAAACACUUCUUUUUCCCUCAAAUUGUUGAAUUUAGUUUCUUUUGGAGAAAUUUACGAAAAACAGGAUGUAUCUGACAUAAUUUUUUAUUAAAUAGGAAAACCAGAAAAUUGAGCUGUACUUUUACAAGGCAUUGAGUACACUUCUUCCAUUACAUCAUUACCAUUCUCUGAUUCCUUAGUCUGAAGGAGAAGGAGCAUUGGUGCUGUGGCUCUGAAUGGCUUAGUGCAUGCCUUCAGCGAGUACUGGUAGAUUCCUGAGUAUGAGGUCUUGCACUAGCACAAUGCAAGUCAGCUGCCUUCAAAUUUCCGUGAUCAUUAUGUUAGUUAAUGCCAGGCUCUGCUUCUUAUUGGAACUUGAAAUCCAUCCUCUGGGAAGACCAAGUGAAGGAGAGAUCAGAGAACAGUUUUCCACUGCAGUCACUUUCAGUGCACACCAUUUGCCGAUCCAUCCAAGCACAGAGCUCCUGGCUAAUCUGUAAGAUGUUGAACCCACCCUUACAUCACAAGAAUGAAACCAACUUCAUCAUGGUUGUCAUGGCUUGACUGUGAUGCAUUGCCUAUAGGCUCAUUUGUUUGAACACGUGGCCUCCAACUGGUGUCACUGAGGAUGUGGGACAUUUGGAACUGUGUUCUAGCUAGCAGAAGUGGGCUGCUAGGUCAGUCCUUGAAGGCUUUUGGGCCUGUACUCUGCUUUCUGAUCCACCAAGAUGUGAAUAAGCUCCUGUCAUUAUGGGUGCAUGUCUCCAGUUCUUUCUUAUUGUGAUGGACUCCCCCUCCUGGCACUCUGAGUCAAAAUAAACCUCUCCAACUUUUGUUUCCAUUGGUAUGUUAUCAUAGUAAUGAGAAACUGUGCUGGCUAGUUUUAUGCCAUCUUGAUACAAGUUAGUCAUUGGGGAAGAGGGAGCCUCAAUUGAGAAAAUGGUUCCCUAAGAUCAGACUGUA